AUGGGGAAGAUCCCCUGGAGAAGGGCAUGGCAACCCACUCCAAUAUUCUUGCCUGGAGAAUUCCAUGGACAGAGGAGCCUGGCGGGCUCCAGUCGAUUGGGUUGCAAAGAGUUGGACGUGACUGAGCGACUUUCACUUCACUUCUUCAUGAGGAUUUCAGGAAGGGGAAACAAGACCAUGACUAAGCAGGUAAACAGCCCUGCUGCAUUCUGGCCUCAACUUCUGAAAUAUUACCAACAUAAGAGACAACAAGCUCUGAAAAGCAGCUGGAAGAACUUGCUAAUUCCUGUGUCCUUUGCUUCUCAAACUUGAAUGUGCUGCUGAAUCACUUGAGGAUCUUAUGAAAACGCGGGUUCUCAUGUAGAAGGCCUGGGGUGGGACCUGAGAUUCUUCAGACCCAACAAGCUCUCGGUGGCGCUGCUGCUCCAUGGACCACACUGAUUGGAAGACUCCAGAACUCCCUUAGCCACUACAGUAGCCGUGAGCACUCAUGGCUAGUCGAGACCAACAUGUGCUAUGAGCGUGGCCACACCUCAGAUUGUGCAGACCUCAUAUAAAAAGGAAAUCUCAAUAAUUUUUAUAGUGAUCACAUGUUGACCUAAGUAUAUUUGGGAUGUACUGGAUUAAGUAAAGUAUAUUGAAAUUUACUUCAUCAGUUGCUAUUUACUCUUUUUAGUGUGGCUUAGAAAAUUUAGAAUUUCACACGUGGCUUGUGCUGUAUUUCUGUUAUACAUUGCUGUUCUAGAACAUUAAUGCAAUAGAAGCAACAUUUUUGGUGUUCUUUUUUUCAGAUGACCCAGUUUCUCAAUCCCCUCGUGACCAUUUCACCUGCUCUUUUUGCUCAACUCGACAUUUAUUUCAUUCUUUUCUCCAAAUGUCUUUCCUCUCUUGCCUGUUCCUUCCCUUUCCACCUUCUCCACCUCCAUCAUUGUCAACACGAUCCUAAGACUCUUACCCAGCAGUCAUAUAAUCCUAAGAGCCAGGACUGCAGGCAGCAGCCACCUUACCUGAGAGCUGGUUAGAAAGGCAGGGUCUCAAGCCCCACCCCUGGUGGGGGACUUCCCUGGUGGCUCGAGGGUAAAAGCAUCUGCUUACAAUGCGGGAGACCCAGGUUCGAUCCCUGUGUUGGGAAGAUCCCCUGGAGAAGGAAAUGGCAACCCACUCCAGCACUCUUGCCUGGAAAAUCCCAUGGACGGAGGAGCCUGGUAGGCUACAGUCCAUGGGGUCUCGAAGAGUCAGACACGACUGAGUGACUUCACUAGUCACUAGUCAAGCCCCACCCCAGACCUAAUGAGCUGCAUCCUAUUUAACA
rnacentral:lncRNA from 1 species